rnacentral:rRNA from 1 species
GAUGAACGCUAGCGGCAGGCCUAACACAUGCAAGUCGAGGGGCAUCACGGAAAAGCUUGCUUUUCUGGUGGCGACCGGCGCACGGGUGAGGAACACGUAUGGAACCUGCCCCUGUCAGGG